rnacentral:rRNA from 1 species
GAUGAACGCUGGCGGCGUGCCUAAUACAUGCAAGUCGAGCGAACAGACGAGGAGCUUGCUCCUCUGACGUUAGCGGCGGACGGGUGAGUAACACGUGGAUAACCUACCUAUAAGACUGGGGUAACUUCGGGAAACCGGAGUUAAUACCGGAUAAUAUAUUGAACCGCAUGGUUCAAUAGUGAAAGACGGUUUUGCUGUCACUUAUAGAUGGAUCCGCGCCGCAUUAGCUAGUUGGUAAGGUAACGGCUUACCAAGGCAACGAUGCGUAGCCGACCUGAGAGGGUGAUCGGCCACACUGGAACUGAGACACGGUCCAGACUCCUACGGGAGGCAGCAGUAGGGAAUCUUCCGCAAUGGGCGAAAGCCUGACGGAGCAACGCCGCGUGAGUGAUGAAGGUCUUCGGAUCGUAAAACUCUGUUAUUAGGGAAGAACAAAUGUGUAAGUAACUAUGCACGUCUUGACGGUACCUAAUCAGAAAGCCACGGCUAACUACGUG